rnacentral:lncRNA from 10 species
GUCUAAUAUUCUCUUUCAGAUGUCUAAUUACUUCAUAGCUUUUCCCCCUAAAAUAAGUAUUUAAGGCUAUAACACUUCCUUCAAAGCACUGCUUUUCCUAUGUGCCUUAAGUUUUGAUAUACAGUAUUUUUAUUAUAAUUUUCUUUUAAACAUAUCACAAUUUUCAUUAUGAGUUACUUAUCAGUGUGUUUUUAAAAUUUCUGAAAACAUGGAUAUCAACCCAUCAUGAAGGAUCUGAGAUUUUACCCUACUUAGAAGAUAACAAGUUAAUAUUGAUGAACAGAUUUGAGACUGCUAGGUCAGUGACAAAGGACCUUAUAAAACACAGCAUUAGCAGUGGUCAGUGUAUCAGCAUUUUCAUGUGCUGAGUCCUCAAACCCCAAUUUCACCAGGGUGAUGAAGAGAGCCAGGUGACAUGUGCAUUUACAGCGAGUUGUGUUACAGGAAAGAAUUCAGAGCUUAAGAAACUCAGAUCUUUUAUACUGUACAGUAAGCAUGCUUGCCCUUUGCUCUAGAGGGAGAUGCUAUCUUUAUCUUCCAAAGCUGUCUAGUAUACAAAUAUCCUUGAAAAGAUGGCCUGAGAAAAAGCCAGUCAGUGCCUCUGCUCAUAAGACAUGCAGAAAUAUAAGACCCAUGGAAAAUUGUCUUGCAGUACAGGAAUGGCACACCUCUGGAGCUCACAGCAGCAGUUUCUUGAUCGUGGUGGUUUCCUGAUGAUGGCAAUAACAACACAGUUCUGGAACCAGGAGCCUCUUGAUCACAUAAGAGGCAGCAGCUGCCCUGAUAGCCAGGUUCCAUGGGGCUCUUCCACCUUUGCUGCUGGGCACUUCUCCUUGCCUUGUGAAGAAAGUGCCUGCUUCCCCUUCUGCCAUGAUUUUAAGUUUCCUGAGGCCUUCCCAACCAUACAGAACUCAACAUGGUUGCAGCUGGAGGCCAUUAUCCUAAGAGAAUUGACACAGAAACAGAAAAUCAAAUACUGUAUGUUCUCACUUUUGUAAGUGGAAGCUAAACAUUGACAAUACAAGGACAUAAAGAUGGAAACAAUAGAGUUAGAAAAAAUGAAUAAGACUUACUAUUUGAUAACACAACAGGGCAACUAUAGUCAAUAAUAAUUGUACAUUUUAAAAUAACUAAGAGUAUAAUUGGAUUAUUUGUAAUACAAAGAAUGAAUACUUAAGGUGAUGGAUAUUACAUUUGCUCUGAUGUGAUUAUUAUUCAUUGCAUGCCUUUAUCAAAAUAUCUCAUGUAACCUGUAAAUAUAUACACCUACUAUGUACUCACAAAAAUUAAAAAUAAAAUUUUUUUUAAAAGAUGGAAACAAUAGACAGUGGGUACUAUUAGAGGAGGGAGGGCGUAAGGGAAGCAAAUGUUGAAAAACUACCUAUUGGGUGCUAUGCCCACUACCUGGGUGAUGGGAUCAUUUGUAUCUCAAGACCCCAAGACACAAUUUACCCAUAGAACAAAGCUGUGCAUGUAUCCCCUGACCUAAAAUAAAAGUUGAUAAAUGAAAAGAAA